GCCUGGGUGGCUCAGUUGGUUGAGCAUCUGACUUUUGAUUUUGGCUCAGGUCAUGAUCCCAGGGUCAUGGGUUUGAGACCCAUAUUGGGCU
rnacentral:tRNA from 1 species